rnacentral:rRNA from 1 species
UGCAGGUCGAGCGGCUGACGGGAGCUUGCUCCUUGAUUCAGCGGCGGACGGGUGAGUAAUACCUAAGAAUCUGCCUGAUAGUGGGGGACAACGUUUCGAAAGGAACGCUAAUACCGCAUACGUCCUACGGGAGAAAGCAGGGGACCUUCGGGCCUUGCGCUAUCAGAUGAGCCUAGGUCGGAUUAGCUAGUUGGUGAGGUAAUGGCUCACCAAGGCGACGAUCCGUAACUGGUCUGAGAGGAUGAUCAGUCACACUGGAACUGAGACACGGUCCAGACUCCUACGGGAGGCAGCAGUGGGGAAUAUUGGACAAUGGGCGAAAGCCUGAUCCAGCCAUGCCGCGUGUGUGAAGAAGGUCUUCGGAUUGUAAAGCACUUUAAGUUGGGAGGAAGGGCAGUAAGCUAAUACCUUGCUGUUUUGACGUUACCGACAGAAUAAGCACCGGCUAACUCUGUGCCAGCAGCCGCGGUAAUACAGAGGGUGCAAGCGUUAAUCGGAAUUACUGGGCGUAAAGCGCGCGUAGGUGGUUCGUUAAGUUGGAUGUGAAAUCCCCGGGCUCAACCUGGGAACUGCAUCCAAAACUGGCGAGCUAGAGUAGGGCAGAGGGUGGUGGAAUUUCCUGUGUAGCGGUGAAAAUGCGUAGAUAUAGGAAAGGAACACCAGUGGCGAACGCGACCACCUGGGCUCAUACUGACACUGAGGUGCGAAAGCUUUGGUGAGCAAACAGGAUUAGAUACCCUGGUAGUCCACGCCGUAAAACGAUGUCAACUAGCCGUUGGAAUCCUUGAGAUUUUUAUUGGCGCAGCUAACGCAUUAAGUUGACCGCCUGGGGAGUACGGCCGCAAGGUUAAAACUCAAAUGAAUUGACGGGGGCCCGCACAAGCGGUGGAGCAUGUGGUUUAAUUUGAAGCAACGCGAAGAACCUUACCAGGCCUUGACAUCCAAUGAACUUUCCAGAGAUGGAUUGGUGCCUUCGGGAACAUUGAGACAGGUGCUGCAUGGCUGUUGUCAGCUCGUGUCGUGAGAUGUUGGGUUAAGUCCCGUAACGAGCGCAACCCUUGUCCUUAGUUACCAGCACGUAAUGGUGGGCACUCUAAGGAGACUGCCGGUGACAAACCGGAGGAAGGUGGGGAUGACGUCAAGUCAUCAUGGCCCUUACGGCCUGGGCUACACACGUGCUACAAUGGUCGGUACAGAGGGUUGCCAAGCCGCGAGGUGGAGCUAAUCUCACAAAACCGAUCGUAGUCCGGAUCGCAGUCUGCAACUCGACUGCGUGAAGUUGGAAUCGCUAGUAAUCGCGAAUCAGAAUGUCGCGGUGAAUACGUUCCCGGGCCUUGUACACACCGCCCGUCACACCAUGGGGGUGGGUGCACCUGAAGUAGCU